CCCAUCUGAGCAACCGAAACAGACUGUUCAUUCUUUCUGUAAAAUUUUAACUGCAUCUGAUACUAGCACCCAUGGAGGGUUUUCUGUUCUUCGGAAGCAUGCCAACGAAUGCCUGCCACAAUUGGACAUGACCCAGUCAACCCCAACCCAGGAUUUGGUUGCCAAAGAUCUUCAUGGGCAUGAGUGGCGAUUUAAGCAUAUAUUCAGAGGCAAGUCCCACCCUUCUUGCCAUUUGCUUCGUGCCUUUUUGCCAUGUUGUCGUUUAAUUCAGGUCAACCUCGAAGACAUUUGCUUACGACAGGCUGGAGUACUUUUGUGACUUCCAAAAGAUUAGUUGCAGGGGAUGCUUUUGUUUUCCUGAG